rnacentral:rRNA from 1 species
UACAGAGGUGGCAAGCGUUGUUCGGAAUUACUGGGCGUAAAGGGCGCGUAGGCGGUCUUUUAAGUCUUGUGUGAAAUCCCUCGGCUCAACUGAGGAACUGCACGGGAUACUGGAAGACUUGAGUUCGGUAGGGGAGCAGGGAAUUCCUAGUGUAGCGGUGAAAUGCGCAGAUAUUAGGAGGAACACCGGUGGCGAAGGCGCUGCUCUGGGCCGAAACUGACGCUGAGGAGCGAAAGCGUGGGUAGCAAACAGG